rnacentral:misc_RNA from 1 species
UGAGCUCGUUGGUAAGGAUCAGAAGGCAAAAAGAGAGAUUUAUGAUUCCAAACCUCAUCAAUAUAUUGGACGAUGAUCAAUGACUCGCAAAUGGGCCUGCCAUUAUGGAUCAAGACAGGGAUUUGUUUAUUAACUGGGUUCAUCUGCAAAAGAAGAGAGCUCUUGUUAGUGACAUCUUCUUCCCUUGCCUCGUACAGAAUUCCCUUCUCAGCCAAGGCGAUUCUAACCCUGGCUGCAAAAGGACUGAAUUGGGUUUCCAGAAGAACUACUUCAUCUGCCAUUACUGCAAAAUCCAACCGAGAUUAUUUCUACUUUUGUUUAACCUUGAAGGCCUG